CUACUCACAUUUGCAUGUUUUCGAACUGCUAGGUUGGCAGUACCUAUUGAACUACUCACAUUUGCAUGUUUUCAAACUGCUAGGUUGGCAGUACCUAUUGAUCUACUUACAUUUUUAUGUUUUCAAACUGCCAGGUUGGCAGGAGCUGGGGCUAACAGCUGGAGCUCACCCGACACCCCGGAAUCGAACCACUGACUUUUUGGUCAGCAAGUUCAGCAGCUCAGCUGUUUCUGAUGACCAAGUGAAAGCUCCGUUAGUGCAAAAUCCACAGAUUCCAUUGCCAGGAUAUGUAUUUCUUGUGGAUAAGAAGAGGCAUCUAAGAUUUCAACCCAAACGGUUCAGCACAUUUCCCUGGUUUGCCUACUCAUUUCAUGUACAAGAUGUGCUCUUGGAAAACGUCUUGAUGUAACCCAUUGUCAUGAGAAAGGAAAUAAAAAGAAAGCAGAAGAAAGAAACGUCUGCCAAUUGUGGAAACUAUUGUCCUUUGUGGCCAACAAGAACUGACUUUAAGAGGGAGCAAUGAAGUGACCACACGAGUGAGAGACCAUCACAGCACAACAGUUUCAACAUCUGUAUUUUAUUGUUGUUGUUUGUUUGGCACAGAUACGUUAGGAAAGGAAUCAAGCAAACAUUUCAAAAUAAUCUAAAGAGCCACACUUCUUCACUUUCUCCCAAACGAUCGCAUGGCACAAGACUAUUUAAUCAGAAUUAAGUCUCACUGGGGCCCCAUCUACUCAUACAAUAUAGUUGAACUACAUUGAACUGUAUUAUAUGAAUACUAGCUGUGCCCGGCCACGCGUUGCUGUGGCUAGGACUUAAUUUUUCUUUUCUUUUUGUUGUAUGAAUGUAGAGGCGUGGAUGAGAGGUUGUGCUGUCAAUUUUCAAGGUUGUAGAGCAUUUAGUUUAGUUGUUUUGUCCGGUGCCGUGAUUCCAGUACCCUUUUAUAGAUAAUAGAUACACUGACCAUAUAAUGCCGUUUCAAAUGCACCAUAUGGUCAGUAUGGAUGGGGCCUGAGUGGUGUUUAAGGUAAAUGCCCUUAAGUCUGCAGAUUUAUGCCCAGAUCUCCAAUUCUAGUUCUGUUUGCUAGACGAUUUCAUGAUCUGGAUGGAGAAAGCUAUCCCAGUGUUAUGUAGAGGGAAGACAACAUUUCAUCAGUAGUCCUGGUUCUUACCGGCAUAUUUGUUUAUGUUUUAAAUCUGUGCUUGGCUUAAAAGGCAAAUGGAAAGAAAUGUGAAUGAUGGCGUUUAUAGUUUCUAACAAUCCAUCAAUAAUAUAACAUAUGGCAACAGUAGAUCAUCCAACUUCAAAUGGACAUUCGUUUAAUAAAGGCAAGCUAUUUCAAGUCUUUGGCAGCCCAAACAAAACACUUUCCCAAAAACGUCAAACCAAACCAACUAAGGCAACUCCUAAAAGGCCAACGUAAUGCAAUACACCUCCAAUCUCCAAGGCUGUUGAAGAACACGAGGAAGCAGGUCUUAUUGGAACUAUGGGAUGGAUCUAAAUCAUCUUCCAAUGUUCUCACUCAGAUAUCCAUUUACUAAUUGAAUUGCAAGCUGAUGGGGAUGUGAUUCACCUCAACUCAAAAGAAAGUACCAUUGAGUUCAGUGUUUAGACUCAGAUAACUGAGGACAGGAUGGUAAGCUGAACAAAAUGCAUUUUAUUUAUGAUAUGUAUUUAUACCCCGCUUCUCUUGGCCAAGGGAGAUCUUAGUCUUUUGUUGUUGUUAUUAUUAUUCCACAGUUCCAGUUUUUAACCCCUGAACUGGAACAUGUUAGAAUGGCUUUUCCAAGGGUUUAGAAGCUUAUCCUCAUUGCUGAGGAUAAGCAAAGAAAGACAGUAGGAUCUGUAUUGACAGAACUCUAGAUUCAGGGGG